CCACGUCAGCCCAGGACCUCCACAACCACAGACCCCGUGAAACCACGUCAGCCCAGGACCUCCACAACCACAGACCACGUGAAACCACGUCAGCCCAGGAUUUCCACAUCUGGCUUCUUCACCGGCGAGAUCAUCUGAGAUGGGUUUGGAGUGAGGGGUGGUGAGGAGUAUUUGUCUGUAAUAACAAAUUCUGAUUGACUGGGCCUGGCUACCAAGUGGGUGGGCCUAUGCCAUCCAAGGCCCACCCAUGGUUGCACCCCUGCACAGUCAUAUGAAAUCCAUAGAUUAGGCCCUAAAUCAUUUAUUUCACUUGACUGAUUUCCUUCUUUGAACUGUAACUCAGUAAAAUCUUUGAAAUUGUUACAUGUUGCGUUUAUAUUUUGGUUCAGUAUGUUGUUUUUUAUUCUCAUAACUGUUAAGACAUCAGCUGCAUUAGAGGAAUGUAUUAAAUAGGGUCUUAUAUUUCCUGUGUGAGUGAGUGGAUGCAGGUGAACACUGACUGUACUGUGGUUUUAGUUUGAUAAGGAGUUGCUAUGUAUAUUUGAAUGUAUGACCAAGCAAUAGCCUAGGGUUUUAGCAUGGCAGUGAAUACAGCAUCUGCUUCUGCUAACACACAUAUCUAUGUAUCAUGAGAUCUACUCCUAAAUCUGAAUGGUUUAUUUUGAGGUUGUAGAAGCUCUGUAUGACUUUCAGGUGUUGUGUGGAAAGUUGCUGAUUUCAGGUGUUAGUCUGUGGGUUGGUUGGUUGGUAAUGGCUCUGUGGACAGUGUUGAGCAGGAGACAGGAGAUCUACGUGCCAUAGGAGACACAAUGUCCACAAGCCACUGGCCAGCCAUACAGAGGAGAGGAGAGCGAUUUUAUGGGCUACUACAAAACUUUUGUUAUUAUCUGAAGCCUUCUAGAACUCUCCAAGAGAUUCUGGAACCCUCCCAAGACAUUCUAGAACUAUCCCAGGGCAGUCUAGAACUGUCCCAAUACAUUCUCACAAGCCAUUCUAUGACUCUCCAAGACAGAAAAUACAUGUUGACAAUCUGUAUGUUCACAGUAAACCAACUAACAACAGAGCAGUUGAUAUCCUGAUGACCAGAGAGUAAAAUAAUGAUCUUCUGCCAUUGGUGGAAUUGCACUCCGCCUUGCUUGCAUUAGAGACCGCUAGGCUAUACAAAUACCAUGCUAUCAGGAAUUGAAACCUAUAUUUGUUCCCAACAAUGAUUCAAAGGUAUCAAACACUCCGAAUGUAAUUGUUGUUAAAUAGCAAAAGGGUACAUAGUAUUUCUGGUUGUUUUCUGUAUAACAGGACGACCGUUUUGUUUUAAUGUAUAUGAGCCUUCUCUAUGUUAUGUUACUAUUUUCUGACUGUAAAUGGUAUUACCUGAUAUUAAAAAUCUUUAAAGGAU